AAUUUUGAACGAGUGGCGGACGGGUGAGUAACACGUGGGUAACCUGCCCUUAAGUGGGGGAUAACAUUUGGAAACAGAUGCUAAUACCGCAUAAAUCCAAGAACCGCAUGGUUCUUGGCUGAAAGAUGGCGUAAGCUAUCGCUUUUGGAUGGACCCGCGGCGUAUUAGCUAGUUGGUGAGGUAACGGCUCACCAAGGCAAUGAUACGUAGCCGAACUGAGAGGUUGAUCGGCCACAUUGGGACUGAGACACGGCCCAAACUCCUACGGGAGGCAGCAGUAGGGAAUCUUCCACAAUGGACGCAAGUCUGAUGGAGCAACGCCGCGUGAGUGAAGAAGGCUUUCGGGUCGUAAAACUCUGUUGUUGGAGAAGAAUGGUCGGCAGAGUAACUGUUGUCGGCGUGACGGUAUCCAACCAGAAAGCCACGGCUAACUACGUGCCAGCAGCCGCGGUAAUACGUAGGUGGCAAGCGUUAUCCGGAUUUAUUGGGCGUAAAGCGAGCGCAGGCGGUUUUUUAAGUCUGAUGUGAAAGCCCUCGGCUUAACCGAGGAAGUGCAUCGGAAACUGGGAAACUUGAGUGCAGAAGAGGACAGUGGAACUCCAUGUGUAGCGGUGAAAUGCGUAGAUAUAUGGAAGAACACCAGUGGCGAAGGCGGCUGUCUGGUCUGUAACUGACGCUGAGGCUCGAAAGCAUGGGUAGCGAACAGGAUUAGAUACCCUGGUAGUCCAUGCCGUAAACGAUGAAUGCUAGGUGUUGGAGGGUUUCCGCCCUUCAGUGCCGCAGCUAACGCAUUAAGCAUUCCGCCUGGGGAGUACGACCGCAAGGUUGAAACUCAAAGGAAUUGACGGGGGCCCGCACAAGCGGUGGAGCAUGUGGUUUAAUUCGAAGCAACGCGAAGAACCUUACCAGGUCUUGACAUCUUUUGAUCACCUGAGAGAUCAGGUUUCCCCUUCGGGGGCAAAAUGACAGGUGGUGCAUGGUUGUCGUCAGCUCGUGUCGUGAGAUGUUGGGUUAAGUCCCGCAACGAGCGCAACCCUUAUGACUAGUUGCCAGCAUUUAGUUGGGCACUCUAGUAAGACUGCCGGUGACAAACCGGAGGAAGGUGGGGAUGACGUCAAAUCAUCAUGCCCCUUAUGACCUGGGCUACACACGUGCUACAAUGGAUGGUACAACGAGUUGCGAGACCGCGAGGUCAAGCUAAUCUCUUAAAGCCAUUCUCAGUUCGGACUGUAGGCUGCAACUCGCCUACACGAAGUCGGAAUCGCUAGUAAUCGCGGAUCAGCACGCCGCGGUGAAUACGUUCCCGGGCCUUGUACACACC
rnacentral:rRNA from 1 species